GGACCUCAGAUCAGGCAAGACCACCCGCUGAGUUUAAGCAUAUCACUAUACGGAGGAAAAG
rnacentral:rRNA from 1 species